UCUAUUUUAGCAUGUGAGAUGAUGUCCUAAACUUUAAUUAAACAUAUGUAGAAAGAGGGAGAAGAAUAAACCCACAAUAGGAUUAAUGAAAUUGGGGAUCAAUUAGGGACAACUAUGCAUGCGAAUGACCUUAGCGGCCUUAAUACAAAUUAAUAUCUGAUGAAUGAAAUAAAGUAAAAUAAAAUAAAAUUGCAUUGGCUUUUCCUUAGGGUGAAUCUCUAG
rnacentral:lncRNA from 1 species